rnacentral:rRNA from 1 species
UACAGAGGUCUCAAGCGUUGUUCGGAUUCAUUGGGCGUAAAGGGUGCGUAGGCGGCGCGGUAAGUCGGGUGUGAAAUUUCGGAGCUUAACUCCGAAACUGCAUUCGAUACUGCCGUGCUCGAGGACUGGAGAGGAGACUGGAAUUUACGGUGUAGCAGUGAAAUGCGUAGAUAUCGUAAGGAAGACCAGUGGCGAAGGCGGGUCUCUGGACAGUUCCUGACGCUGAGGCACGAAGGCCAGGGGAGCAAACAGG